GACGAACGCUGGCGGCGUGCCUAAUACAUGCAAGUAGAACGCUGAAGAGAGGAUCUUGCUCUUCUUGGAUGAGUUGCGAACGGGUGAGUAACGCGUAGGUAACCUGCCUUGUAGCGGGGGAUAACUAUUGGAAACGAUAGCUAAUACCGCAUAACAAUAGGUGACACAUGUCAUUUAUUUGAAAGGGGCAAUUGCUCCACUACAAGAUGGACCUGCGUUGUAUUAGCUAGUAGGUGAGGUAACGGCUCACCUAGGCGACGAUACAUAGCCGACCUGAGAGGGUGAUCGGCCACACUGGGACUGAGACACGGCCCAGACUCCUACGGGAGGCAGCAGUAGGGAAUCUUCGGCGAUGGGGGCAACCCUGACCGAGCAACGCCGCGUGAGUGAAGAAGGUUUUCGGAUCGUAAAGCUCUGUUGUAAGUCAAGAACGAGUGUGAGAGUGGAAAGUUCACACUGUGACGGUAGCUUACCAGAAAGGGACGGCUAACUACGUG
rnacentral:rRNA from 1 species